rnacentral:rRNA from 1 species
CAGAGUGACAGGUGGUGCAUGGUUGUCGUCAGCUCGUGUCGUGAGAUGUUGGGGUUAAGUCCCGCAACGAGCGCAACCCUUGAUCUUAGUUGCCAUCAUUUAGUUGGGCACUCUAAGGUGACUGCCGGUGACAAACCGGAGGAAGGUGGGGAUGACGUCAAAUCAUCAUGCCCCUUAUGACCUGGGCUACACACGUGCUACAAUGGACGGUACAAAGAGCUGCAAGACCGCGAGGUGGAGCUAAUCUCAUAAAACCGUUCUCAGUUCGGAUUGUAGGCUGCAACUCGCCUACAUGAAGCUGGAAUCGCUAGUAAUCGCGGAUCAGCAUGCCGCGGUGAAUACGUUCCCGGGCCUUGUACACACCGCCCGUCACACCACGAGAGUUUGUAACACCCGAAGUCGGUGGGGUAACCUU